rnacentral:rRNA from 1 species
UACAUAGGUGACAAGCGUUGUCCGGAUUUACUGGGCGUAAAGAGCGCGCAGGCGGUCGUUCAAGUCGAGUGUGAAAGCCCCCGGCUCAACUGGGGAGGGUCACUCGAUACUGAUCGACUUGAAGGCAGGAGAGGGAAGCGGAAUUCCCGGUGUAGUGGUGAAAUGCGUAGAUAUCGGGAGGAACACCAGUGGCGAAGGCGGCUUCCUGGCCUGUUCUUGACGCUGAGGCGCGAAAGCUAGGGGAGCAAACGGG